rnacentral:lncRNA from 1 species
UAUGGUGGUGAGGAGGAGGUGAAGAUUUAUGAUGGGGGCAAGGAGGAGGUCAAGAUUUGGGAUGGGGGCGAGGAGGUGAAAAGGAAUUGAAGGCGGAACGUUUUUGGAUGCGGAAGAUUUGGGUGGAAGGAGGGAAAGGACGGGGUAUUUGGCCAAUUGGGUGGAUGGACCUGUCACACUACCAAUAUACCCUUUUACUAUGGUGUCGGAUGAAAUGGGGUGUUGUUGGGAAGGGGGG